AAAAAAAAGAAAUAAAAACAAAACAAAAUAAAAGAAAAAAAUUAAAUUAAAGUAAAUGAAAAAAAAGGAAAGAAAAAGUAAAGUAAUAAUUAGGAAUAUAAUAUUAAAUGAGAGAAACAUCUGAAAAAGAAACUAAUACAACAUACGCCAUACGGGGGAAAACAGGGGAUCACUUGUGACCUUGCGUUAAUAGAUGAGCCUAAGUCGGAUUAGCUAGUUGGUGGGGUAAAGGCCUACCAAGGCGACGAUCUGUAGCGGGUCUGAGAGGAUGAUCCGCCACACUGGGGCUGAGACACGGCCCAGACUCCUACGGGAGGCAGCAGUGGGGAAUAUUGGACAAUGGGGGGAACCCUGAUCCAGCCAUGCCGCGUGUGUGAAGAAGGCCUUAUGGUUGUAAAGCACUUUAAGCGAGGAGGAGGCUCUUUUGGUUAAUACCCAAGAUGAGUGGACGUUACUCGCAGAAUAAGCACCGGCUAACUCUGUGCCAGCAGCCGCGGUAAUACAGAGGGUGCGAGCGUUAAUCGGAUUUACUGGGCGUAAAGCGUGCGUAGGCGGCUUUUUAAGUCGGAUGUGAAAUCCCCGAGCUUAACUUGGGAAUUGCAUUCGAUACUGGGAAGCUAGAGUAUGGGAGAGGAUGGUAGAAGUAACAGGUGUAGCGGUGAAAUGCGUAGA
rnacentral:rRNA from 1 species